rnacentral:rRNA from 1 species
AUUGAACGCUAGCGGCAGGCUUAACACAUGCAAGUCGAGCGGAGAUGAGGUGCUUGCACCUUAUCUUAGCGGCGGACGGGUGAGUAAUGCUUAGGAAUCUGCCUAUUAGUGGGAGACAACAUUCCGAAAGGAAUGCUAAUACCGCAUACGUCCUACGGGAGAAAGCAGGGGAUCUUCGGACCUUGCGCUAAUAGAUGAGCCUAAGUCGGAUUAGCUAGUUGGUGGGGUAAAGGCCUACCAAGGCGACGAUCUGUAGCGGGUCUGAGAGGAUGAUCCGCCACACUGGGACUGAGACACGGCCCAGACUCCUACGGGAGGCAGCAGUGGGGAAUAUUGGACAAUGGGGGAAACCCUGAUCCAGCCAUGCCGCGUGUGUGAAGAAGGCCUUAUGGUUGUAAAGCACUUUAAGCGAGGAGGAGGCUACUGAGACUAAUACUCUUGGAUAGUGGACGUUACUCGCAGAAUAAGCACCGGCUAACUCUGUGCCAGCCGCCGCCGUAA